rnacentral:rRNA from 1 species
UGAGGAAUAUUGGUCAAUGGGCGCAAGCCUGAACCAGCCACGUAGCGUGAAGGAUGACAGCCCUAUGGGUUUUAAACUUCUUUUAUAAGGGAAUAAAUGACACUAUGUAUAGUGUUUUGUAUGUACCUUAUGAAUAAGCAUCGGCUAACUUCGUGCCAGCAGCCGCGGUAAUACGGAGGAUGCGAGCGUUAUCCGGAUUUAUUGGGUUUAAAGGGUGCGUAGGCGGGCAUUCAAGUCAGUUGUGAAAGCUUAAGGCUCAACCUUGAAAUAGCAAUUGAAACUGUUUGUCUUGAGAGUAAAUAAGGUGGGCGGAAUUCGUGGUGUAGCGGUGAAAUGCUUAGAUAUCACGAAGAACUCCGAUUGCGUAGGCAGCUCACCGGGCUACCUCUGACGCUGAGGCACGAAAGUGUGGCUAUCAAACAGGAUUAGAUACCCUGGUAGUCCACACCGUAAACGAUGAAUACUAGUUUUUUGCGAUAUGACCGCAAGAGGCAAAGCGAAAGCAUUAAGUAUUCCACCUGGGGAGUACGCCGGCAACGGUGAAACUCAAAGGAAUUGACGGGGGCCCGCACAAGCGGAGGAACAUGUGGUUUAAUUCGAUGAUACGCGAGGAACCUUACCCGGGCUUGAAUUGCAGAGGAAUGAAGGUGAAAGCUUUUAGCCGCAAGGUCUCUGUGAAGGUGCUGCAUGGUUGUCGUCAGCUCGUGCCGUGAGGUGUCGGCUUAAGUGCCAUAACGAGCGCAACCCUGAUUGUCAGUUACCAGCAUGUAAUGGUGGGGACUCUGGCAAGACUGCCUUCGUAAGAAGUGAGGAAGGUUGGGAUGACGUCAAAUCAGCACGGCCCUUACGUCCGGGGCUACACACGUGUUACAAUGGGUGGUACAACGAGUUGCUUGCCGGUGACGGUUGGCUAAUCUAUAAAACCACUCUCAGUUCGGAUCGAAGUCUGCAACCCGACUUCGUGAAGCUGGAUUCGCUAGUAAUCGCGCAUCAGCCACGGCGCGGUGAAUACGUUCCCGGGCCUUGUACACACCGCCCGUCAAGCCAUGGGAGUCGGGGGUACCUGAAGCGCGUUUCCGUAGUAGGAACGUUCCAGGGUAAAUCCGGUGACCGGGGCU